rfam:Gossypium raimondii Chr13_contig_1355, whole genome shotgun sequence.
UAUUAAAAAAUUCAUCAAUUUUUAUUGUUAAAGAUUGACGUGGCUGAUGAAAUAACCAAAUAGUUACAUGUGACGUAUCACGUGUAUCUCAUGCUGAUGUAAAGGGACCGGUUUCAACAGUAGAAAUAAAUAGAAUUCUUAACA